rnacentral:rRNA from 1 species
CCUACGGGUGGCAGCAGUGAGGAAUAUUGGUCAAUGGACGCGAGUCUGAACCAGCCAAGUCGCGUGAAGGAUGACUGCCCUCUGGGUUGUAAACUUCUUUUAUAUGGGAAUAAAACGUUCCACGUGUGGGCUUUUGUAUGUACCAUAUGAAUAAGGCUCGGCUAACUCCGUGCCAGCAGCCGCGGUAAUACGGAGGGUCCGAGCGUUAUCCGGAUUUAUUGGGUGUAAAGGGAGCGUAGGUGGAUUGUUAAGUCAGUUGUGAAAUGUUGGGGCUUAACCGGAAAAUUGCAGUUGAAACUGGCAGGCUUGAGUACAGUAGAGGUGGGCGGAAUUCGUGGUGUAGCGGUGAAAUGCGUAGAGAUCACGAAGAACACCGAUUGCGAAGGCAGUUCACUGGACAGCAACUGACACUGAGGCUCGAAAGUGUGGGGAGCAAACAGGAUUAGAUACCCGAGUAGUC